rnacentral:miRNA from 1 species
UAGAAGAGGACUCUGAGAGGGGCAUAGGAAACACUACCUUUGCAUCUGCAAUACUAGUGUUAUGAUAAUUUGAUUAUUCAGAUUAAA